ACAACAACAUUCGGACCGUCGGUCUACUGAGCAAUAUCACCCGCUCGGUGGAAGAUCUUCCCUUUGUUAUAUAUA
rnacentral:pre_miRNA from 1 species